CAGGGAUUGCCCUAGUAACGGCGAGUGAAGCGGCAACAGCUCAAAUUUGAAAUCUGGCUCUUUCAGAGUCCGAGUUGUAAUUUGCAGAGGGCGCUUUGGCUUUGGCAGCGGUCCAAGUUCCUUGGAACAGGACGUCACAGAGGGUGAGAAUCCCGUACGUGGUCGCUAGCUAUUGCCGUGUAAAGCCCCUUCGACGAGUCGAGUUGUUUGGGAAUGCAGCUCUAAAUGGGAGGUAAAUUUCUUCUAAAGCUAAAUAUUGGCCAGAGACCGAUAGCGCACAAGUAGAGUGAUCGAAAGAUGAAAAGCACUUUGGAAAGAGAGUCAAACAGCACGUGAAAUUGUUGAAAGGGAAGCGCUUGCAGCCAGACUUGCUUGCAGUUGCUCAUCCGGGCUUUUGCCCGGUGCACUCUUCUGCAGGCAGGCCAGCAUCAGUUUGGGCGGUGGGAUAAAGGUCUCUGUCACGUACCAUCCUUCGGGAUGGCCAUAUAGGGGAGACGUCAUACCACCAGCCUGGACUGAGGUCCGCGCAUCUGCUAGGAUGCUGGCGUAAUGGCUGUAAGCGGCCCGUCUUGAAACACGGACCAAGGAGUCUAACAUCUAUGCGAGUGUUUGGGUGUCAAGCCCGAGCGCGUAAUGAAAGUGAACGGAGGUGGGAACCCGCAAGGGUGCACCAUCGACCGAUCCUGAAGUUUACGGAAGGAUUUGAGUAAGAGCAUGGCUGUUGGGACCCGAAAGAUGGUGAACUAUGCUUGAAUAGGGUGAAGCCAGAGGAAACUCUGGUGGAGGCUCGCAGCGGUUCUGACGUGCAAAUCGAUCGUCAAAUUUGGGCAUAGGGGCGAAAGACU
rnacentral:rRNA from 1 species